AAUCAAAAUUUUGGUCAACCAACUCUUUAUCCAUAUUAUGGUGCUUAUGGACCAAUGGGACAAUAUGCACAUAUGAGGGAUAUUGGUCAAAAUGGGCAAUUUGGACUUAAGAACUUGGAUUAUAGCGACUAUGCAAAUAAAUAUAUUGAUCAACUCGGUUUGCGGUCAUAUUCUGAAUACCUCGAUGAAUAUUUCACCCCAUAUGAAAAUAUCGGAGAAGAUUAC